UUUUGUUGGGUUGUCUUAUCUUAGGGACGACGUGGUUGAUAGCCUGUUUGCACUGAGAUCUAGUCCACGAAUCAACCAAGAACAUCAUUCGAUCGGGAAGAAGAUGAAGACGAAGAUGAUUAUAGUUUUUAUAUUGUUAUCARUUUACGUAAUUAACCCACAUAACGUAAAUGCGGUGGGUUUUGUUGGAGGUAUCGUUCGUGGUAUCAUUAAACGUUGCCCAAGACUAAAAUGCGAUGAAGUUGUUGGGGCAGGGCAUGAUGUUUAUAAGGCGGUUACGAGUCCUCCACCUCCUAUUCGAUUUCAUGCUUGUAAUCUUCCUUGUGCUCGUUCUAAUCCCCCUACUCUUGCUUGUCUCCAUGCUUGUCGUCGCUUUUUUCAUCACCCUUAAGCAAAAGAUCGUGUGAGAAGAAAAGUUAAAAUGAGAAGCGUAAGAAAGGAUCCGGACUCUUGAUCACCUUUAAUCUCAAACUCACCUAUGAGUUUGUGGUUUGUUUUUUUAUGUAUAAUUAUUACAUGGAAAAAUUGUUGUAUGUGGUACUAUCUUUCUGUAUUUGUGGCAUGGAAUCUAUAAAAUUUUGUUGUUUAUUUCUUGUGUUGAA